rnacentral:pre_miRNA from 14 species
GCAGGAAGGUUGAACAUCCUGCAUAGUGCUGCCAAGAAAUCCCUAUUUCAUACCAAGAGGGGGCUGGCUGGUUGCAUAUGUAGGAUGUCCCAUCUCCCAGCCCACUUCAUCA